UUAAAUUGAAGAGUUUGAUCAUGGCUCAGAUUGAACGCUGGCGGCAGGCCUAACACAUGCAAGUCGAACGGUAACAGGAAGCAGCUUGCUGCUUCGCUGACGAGUGGCGGACGGGUGAGUAAUGUCUGGGAAACUGCCUGAUGGAGGGGGAUAACUACUGGAAACGGUAGCUAAUACCGCAUAACGUCGCAAGACCAAAGAGGGGGACCUUCGGGCCUCUUGCCAUCGGAUGUGCCCAGAUGGGAUUAGCUUGUUGGUGGGGUAACGGCUCACCAAGGCGACGAUCCCUAGCUGGUCUGAGAGGAUGACCAGCCACACUGGAACUGAGACACGGUCCAGACUCCUACGGGAGGCAGCAGUGGGGAAUAUUGCACAAUGGGCGCAAGCCUGAUGCAGCCAUGCCGCGUGUAUGAAGAAGGCCUUCGGGUUGUAAAGUACUUUCAGCGGGGAGGAAGGGAGUAAAGUUAAUACCUUUGCUCAUUGACGUUACCCGCAGAAGAAGCACCGGCUAACUCCGUGCCAGCAGCCGCGGUAAUACGGAGGGUGCAAGCGUUAAUCGGAAUUACUGGGCGUAAAGCGCACGCAGGCGGUUUGUUAAGUCAGAUGUGAAAUCCCCGGGCUCAACCUGGGAACUGCAUCUGAUACUGGCAAGCUUGAGUCUCGUAGAGGGGGGUAGAAUUCCAGGUGUAGCGGUGAAAUGCGUAGAGAUCUGGAGGAAUACCGGUGGCGAAGGCGGCCCCCUGGACGAAGACUGACGCUCAGGUGCGAAAGCGUGGGGAGCAAACAGGAUUAGAUACCCUGGUAGUCCACGCCGUAAACGAUGUCGACUUGGAGGUUGUGCCCUUGAGGCGUGGCUUCCGGAGCUAACGCGUUAAGUCGACCGCCUGGGGAGUACGGCCGCAAGGUUAAAACUCAAAUGAAUUGACGGGGGCCCGCACAAGCGGUGGAGCAUGUGGUUUAAUUCGAUGCAACGCGAAGAACCUUACCUGGUCUUGACAUCCACGGAAGUUUUCAGAGAUGAGAAUGUGCCUUCGGGAACCGUGAGACAGGUGCUGCAUGGCUGUCGUCAGCUCGUGUUGUGAAAUGUUGGGUUAAGUCCCGCAACGAGCGCAACCCUUAUCCUUUGUUGCCAGCGGUCCGGCCGGGAACUCAAAGGAGACUGCCAGUGAUAAACUGGAGGAAGGUGGGGAUGACGUCAAGUCAUCAUGGCCCUUACGACCAGGGCUACACACGUGCUACAAUGGCGCAUACAAAGAGAAGCGACCUCGCGAGAGCAAGCGGACCUCAUAAAGUGCGUCGUAGUCCGGAUUGGAGUCUGCAACUCGACUCCAUGAAGUCGGAAUCGCUAGUAAUCGUGGAUCAGAAUGCCACGGUGAAUACGUUCCCGGGCCUUGUACACACCGCCCGUCACACCAUGGGAGUGGGUUGCAAAAGAAGUAGGUAGCUUAACCUUCGGGAGGGCGCUUACCACUUUGUGAUUCAUGACUGGGGUGAAGUCGUAACAAGGUAACCGUAGGGGAACCUGCGGUUGGAUCACCUCCUUCCCUU
rnacentral:rRNA from 1 species